ACGAACGCUGGCGGCGUGCUUAACACAUGCAAGUCGAACGGUGAACCGGGCUUCGGUCCGGGGAUCAGUGGCGAACGGGUGCGUAACACGUGGGCAACCUGCCCCAGACACUGGGAUAACCCCGGGAAACCGGGGCUAAUACCGGAUACUCCGCUCGGACCGCAUGGUCCGAUCGGGAAAGCUCCGACGGUCUGGGAUGGGCCCGCGGCCUAUCAGCUUGUUGGUGGGGUAACGGCCUACCAAGGCGACGACGGGUAGCUGGUCUGAGAGGACGACCAGCCACACUGGAACUGAGAUACGGUCCAGACUCCUACGGGAGGCAGCAGUGGGGAAUCUUGCACAAUGGGCGAAAGCCUGAUGCAGCGACGCCGCGUGGGGGAUGAAGGCCCUCGGGUUGUAAACCCCUUUCGGCAGGGAAGAAGCGCAAGUGACGGUACCUGCAGAAGAAGCUCCGGCUAACUACGU
rnacentral:rRNA from 1 species